rnacentral:lncRNA from 1 species
UCCCUGUCCUGGCGUUGCCAAAGCAACUUGGUUCCCAUCUCUUCUCGGCCAUCCCCGAGGUUGCCGGACAAGCAGUGGACAAACUGGUGUCCAGGGACAGUCAGGUCAAAAAGUCGCUCAGAUAUCACUCCUGGCAUGCAAUCUUAUUUGGCCUUUGGAUGACUUCAGGCUUUGGAGAAUUCUGUAAAACAAAUCUAUAUUUCAUCAGGUGUAUCUGCUCUUGAAACCAACAACUCAAUGACUGAUGCCCAAACUAUAACUUGAAAAAGGGGGAAGAAAGAAGAAAAUUCUUUUGUAAAUUGGAUUUGGAGUUCUGGCAGGGCUAUGUUUUACUCUUGGCAGCUGGGCUGACUGUCUCAGAAUAUCCACUGGUUUCCUGAUGUGGAGUCUGCAUAGGCGAAUUUCUUUAUCUGGAGUCACCCCGGAUGGUGGCAGUGACUUCAAAACCAGCCAGUCCGAGGUCCACAUAAGGGACUUCCAAUCAGCUGUGUCCAGUGGGCCAGUCUGGUGGCAUUCCUGGAGCUUCAAAAUACCCAGAGCUCAAGCCAAGACUGCCAGGAGCGCCUGCUUUUGUACCAAGAACAUAGUCACCUUUUCAUUUUUUUUUCUUUUCACUUUGUGGUCUGAUACUACUUUAUAAGUAAAAGCCCAUAGAGAUAAUUAUUUUUCUUUCA